AACGAACGCUGGCGGCAUGCCUAACACAUGCAAGUCGAACGAGACCGUCGGGUCUAGUGGCGCACGGGUGCGUAACGCGGGGGAACCUGCCCUUAGGUUCGGAAUAACUCGCCGAAAGGGGUGGCAAAACCGGGAAAAAUCCUCCGUACAAAGUGUUAUUGCCCUUGGGGGGGCCUGGGGUGGAUUAGUCGGUUGGGAGGGUAAAAGCCUACCAAGGCUACGAGCCAUAACGGGUCCGUGAGGAUGAUCAGCCACACUGGGGCUGGGACGCGGCCCAGACUCCUGCAGGAAGCAGCAGUGGGGAAUAUUGGACAAUGGGCGAAAGCAUGAUCCAGCAAUGCCGCGUGAGUGAUGAAGGCCUUAGGGUUGUAAAGCUCUUUUACCCGGGAGGAUAAUGACGGUACCGGGAGAAUAAGCUCCGGCUAACUCCGUG
rnacentral:rRNA from 1 species